AGAUUACAAAAUGGUACACAGUCAUACAAUACUGGGAAUCAUGGCCCAGCCAAAUUGAUACACACAUUUUUUUGGGGACAUAAUUCAAUCCAUGACACCACCUUAAAAUAUCAAUUUUUAAAUUCUGGGAUCUUGCUCUCAUACUGGAUCUGCACAUUUUGUAGAGACAAACCCAGUGAAGCAUUAAAUUUCCAUGAUUGUCUUCGUCAUAAGGAUGCUGUUGUUUCCUCUGCUGGUUUCUUGUCAUCCCUUCCAAGCCCUAAAUUCUAGACAUUGAAGGAGAGACCUUUGGAGAGAAGAUUGAAGAGAGUUAAAACAUGGAGGGGAUCGAAGGUAAACAUCAGGACCGAUUUAGUGUUUAUUGACACAGUGAUACCUUGUUGACUUUUUGUGCCCAACUUUUUUGACAGUCAUUUCAGAGGAGAUUGGUGGGUAUUGUUUGAAGAGGGGACUAGUGAAAGGAGUAGAAACAAUCAUCUUAAUGUUCAGCAUGAUCUUUGUUGUUGUUAAGCUAACUGUUCUGUGAGUGUGUAUUUCCUGUGUGUCAGCUGAGACUUGAGAUUAGUUUUUCAGCAUACGUCAUGAGGAGUGGCUUUGGGAAUAUAGAGGAACCCCCUUUCAUGCAGGGAUUGGAGUCUAAAGUCUGUGUGUAAGUAGAGGUCCCUUAAAAUUAGCAUUUUGCUCCAAAGCCCCUUAAAUUGCCCGGGAAAUCACCAGGUCCUGAGCCCUUAGAUGCUCAAAAGCCAAGGAUUAACUUUGUUCCCUCUUAUUGCCUCUAGGCAGUGACUCCUUUUGCCCUGGAUGAGGGAAACCCAAGGACCUGUUGAAUGUGGGUGGAGGGAGAGUGAAAGGCUCCUGGGUAAACACAGGCAUUGAUGAAAAGGCACUGCCUCUUUACGGCAAUGCUCAUGGUGAUAGUAGAUGGAGCCAUGGGCUUUGAUCUGCGGAACUCGAAUCUUUUCAUUUCCAUGUCUGACUCCUAUGGGCUGCCCUUUCUCAGGCAGCUAUGAGACUCGCUGGUGGGAGGUUGGAGAGGGACCCCCCGCCCACUGCUGUUCCCCCACCUCUUCCCUGGGCCCCGUGUAGCAUCUCCAGUGGCAGGUGUGUCUUCUGCGUGGCCCCAGGUAUAUCUUCUCUGAUCCGUUGUGGCUGUAGUACUGCCUGGUGACACAGCUCUGGCUCCUGAAUCACUUCCUUUUCCUUUUUGCCCCUCCAGCCAAGGGGUGGCACUGGCUCCCUGCUGUUGCCAGUUUGUGGGUGGCCUCACUGUCCCAGAUGGCUUCAGCUGAGUAACCAAUUCUGUAUCCUAAAGUCCCUCGGAUUUCAAUACUGGUGCGGUUUCUGUUAUGUUGUUAGACCUUGUCUAACACCAGACUGUAUGCUCCACAUCCCAAUCUCUUGAUUUGUAUGAAGGCUUCUCAGAAUCUGGUGUGUUAACAUAUUGUUUUUCUCUUUCUAGUCUUCUCUUAGAAUGCUACCCCAAUGUGUUUUUCAUCCUUGCUGGGUUUUUCUUAAAAUGUGAUGACUCUUUAGGGACUUAGAAGAUAACGGUGUGAUCAUUCCAGCUUCUCCAAGCCUUGGGAUCAGUGGAUUCUUGAGGCCUUUACUAUUGGUUUCCCUUUUGCUGCAGUAUUAUGCUUAGUGUUUAAAGUGUCUUAUAAACUGAGUGCUUAAUUCUACUCCCAUGUACCUUUUGCCUUGGCUUUUUGCAAACCUCGUAUGUUUUGUUGCUGUUGGAGUUUUUCAAGUGACCCUUUAACAGGAGGAAUCCCGACCUUCUUUCUCCACUCCUACUUUCUUUUCUCCCCACCUCAAUCCUUAUACUCUUUUCAGUUUGUCUGCUUUGUGCACGUUUUGGUUUUUCUGUUCCAUCCUUUUGUAAAUGAUUUAAAAAAAUGCUCAAAGGUACAUUAUCUGACUUCCAAAUAACUCCUUGAGCUCUGUGCUUCAAAACAGAUCACCAACAGUUUGGACUCCAGCAUAAAACUCACAACUAUCUGGCAGAUGGUGUGACAGAAGGAGAGCGGGCUUUGUGCAGCGUCUGUCCUGAGCAGAACUGCAGGGUGGGGCUUGCAGCCCAUAGCAUGCCUCUGGUUGAAGCCCUCCAGCAUAGGUUCUUCUUAUUUUUUAAUAAAUUGGAUCUCUUCCUUUUGAAAAGCACGUCUUUUGAUUCUGUUAGUGUCUGACUUGGUUUUGCGUUUUCAUUGCCUUCCACAGGACUCCUGACAAUGGCCUGACAUGGGGGUGGCGUGGGGGGAGGAGGCUACUCAUACCCAGAAGCUGCAACAGAAGAGGCUCUUCUUUGGAAAUUACAAGUUAUUUGUAAGAGUGUGAGAACAAGCCUUUGAUUAAACAAUAUAGCUCAGCUUCCAGACUCGGCAUUUGAGGCCUCAGAUUAUGAAAAAUAGACAUCUUUCUUUUUCAGUUCCAGUAUUCUAGUAAGUAAAUUUAUAUUUAAAGAAGGCCAUUCAUGCUGAAUGAAUUCAUAUACAUAAAGCUCUUGAAAAUCCCCUAAGACAUAGCAUUAUAUACAUUUAUAUCCAUUAGGCUGUAAGCUCCGUGAGGACACGGUUUCCAUCUGUUUUGUUCACUGCUGCAUAGGCCUGAACACUGAACGAAUGGCUGUAUGUUAUAGGAGAAGUUGUCUGGAGGAGUGACUUCCUUCAUGUAAUGGCAUUCUGUGAGAUGGGAGGGAAUGAUGUUUGAUUCCUUUCUAUUGCACUGUGUCUAUGCUUGUUGUGCCUGCUAUUAGAUUGUAAACUCCUGGAGGUCAGGGGACCUGCUUCACUUGUCUGUGUAUCUCUCAUAAUCCUAGUGUGUUGUGUCCUAGUGCUUUAUAGCUAGGAAGUGCUCAGUGAGUAAUUGUUGAACUACAUUUUGUUCUCCUGUUUCUGAGAAGUUCUAAGACAAGUCCAAGAAAUUUUGCUACAUAACAAACUGCCCCAAAACCUAGUGUUUUAAACAAACUCUUAUUAUUUCCCUUGGUUUGUGGUCCAGGCUGGCUCGGCAGAUUUCUAUUGCUCUCACUCAUGCCAGGGGGUUGGAUGGUCCCGGAUAGCCUCACUCACUCAACGGGUGCUUGGCCUGUGCCUCUCGUCCUCCAUCAGGUCAGCUCAGGCUCAUUUGGCGGUUCAAGGUCCCAAGAACAGCGAAAGAGGACAAGUCGCCAUGUGCAAACAUUUUUCAAGCCUUCACUUGCAUUUCAUUUGCUAAUGUCCAGUUGGAAAAGGUAAUCAUGUGGUUAAACCCAGAGUCAGGUGUGAGGGGAUUACCCAAAGGUAUAGUUACAAGUACAAGGAGAGGAAUAAUUCUUGCCAUUUUUUCAAAAAGAUCUACCCCAAGCAUCUCUUUCUGUUCUCCUUGCUCCUUUCCCUUCCGAAUCAGCCUCAGUGACUUGCAGUAUGUGUUACAGCCUCUCCAGAGGAGAGAGUGUUCAAAGGAGAGAGGAUUUGGGUCGGGGGAUUGUGAUAAAGAUGAUUUGAGAAAGCGGGCAUUAGAAGAACUUGUUUGCCUCCUGUGCACUGUUCUGCGAGGAGUUGGUUCUUGGCCUGCUGAACUAACACCUUUGCCUGUGCACUAUUCUGGAGCCACCAUUUAUCAUUCUUCUGACCUUGGUCUCAUGGACUUUUCUGUUUCUCAGACCCUCACUGUAAGAUGCAGAUGGUAAUAAUACAGUGCAGACUAACGCGGAUGACUUCAUGUGUAGGCUUGAACGAAAGCCACUGUCAACACCCCUGCGUGCAAAGCCCUUUCUUUUUUUUUUAGUGCAUUCACACAUACUAUCUCCACUGACUUGCUCUUGAUCUUACAGCAAGAGAAAAAAGAUGUGACUGCACUUUAUAUAGCAUGCAGUUGUUAAUUUGUCAACUGCUCAUUAGACUCUGGCUGUUCAUUUCUCUCAAACUGUGUGUGCUCCCUUUUCUAAAGUUCUGCGCUUACAACUUUUUUUUUUUUUUUUUUUAAAAAAGAUGAAAGGCAGAGUAAUAAACGAAGUUCAUUGUUCUCUGAAACUGGGAUGUGAUAAUCAAUAGGGGAGAUGACUGUCAGCGCUGGAACACUGGAAGUCGACUGAAGAACUUGGUAGGGUCAGAGGCUGAGCUGAGCUAUUCACAGACCAGCUUGGAUGUUAAUAGUGCCAAGCCUACCGUAUUUUCCACGGCAGUUUUUAUCUUGAAGGAACUGCUCAUAAAUAAAGGUAUUCCGAGUAUAUGUUGGUUGUUACUUUUGAAUAACGUUUCUGGAGCAAAAGGUUCAGAAAUAAGUCAUAUAUGUCCUGUUAAAUGUUGGUAGCAUGCAGUAAAUUAUUUUAAAUGCAUAAAGGAUUUUCCUUCUGAUCUUUGCAGUGAGGCAUGUGCGCUGACAGCUCUUGCUGCAUAUUUAUCGUCACAGGGAGGAAGAGAUGGCCUGGCCAUUUGGAAGUAUGCUUUAUGUAUACCUGAACUCACCAGAUGUGCUGCUAAAUUGUAGGAACUUGGUUUAGUUGGCAAAGAAGCUUAAAAAGGAGCCGUUUUGUGGUACAGAUAAGUUUAUUGUUCAUGUCACCCAGGAGUAUCUCUAACUCAUUGUGGAUGAAUUCUCAGAGUUGUGAGUUUGCAGCGGAGUGGGCUGUGGUGGAAUAACAGCGCGUGGGGGCAAGGAGCUGAUUCUUGGCCUGCCUGCACUAGUGAUUUUUGAUUGUGCUUUAUUCUGGAGUCAUCAUUUAUCAUUCUUCCGACCCUGGUCUUGUGGAGUUUUCUGUUUCUCAGAACGUCGCUGUAAGAUGCAGAUGAUAAUAAUACAAAAUGAAGAGUGAACACAUGGGAAACGUUUAGUACACUGGCUAGCACAUAGUCGGCUUUGUAAGCAUUAUAGUAAUGUUAUCCAUUUUUCUUAUUAAUUUCAUUUUCUCUAAAUCCAUCCUCUUAAAUGUAAAAUGGAGAUGCUGAUAACACUUGUCUUCCCAGUUGCACAGAAAAGAAAUGAUGUAUGUGGAAACUUUAUAAAGUAUAUAGUAUUAUACAAAUACCACAUGACCUCAAUUCCAAACUGGCUUAAAUGGUAAAGGGUUUAUUAGCUCACAGAACAGUAAUGUUCUGGGGCUAGGGUGGGCUUCAGGCUUGGUUUGAUCAGGGCUCUAGCUGUGGUACUAUUCUUGGUUCUGCCAUUUCGGUGUAUCAGUUUCAUCUUUUGUGGUCUGCUCUCACAAUGGCAAAAUGAGACCAGCAGGUCCAGCUAUAUAUCUACCCACUACACCAUCCAAAUGCAAGAAGUCUGGAUUUCAGAGUCCUCGGCCAAAUUCUGAGCUUUGCACACUGAUUGGUGCAUUUCUAAACCUAUCCCUGGGGCCAGGGAAAUACCUUGUGGUGACUGUCUUAGGCCUGUGCUAUCUUAAAUCAAUUGUUUUGAUAAGAAAGUGGGUUGCCAUGAUUGGCUGAGAUGAAUCAGAGCCCACUUCUGCAUCUUGGGUGAGGCCAAGCCCAUUCAAGCACAAGCUGCCCUGCACUGGAGGUGGGAGGAGUGGGUGCAUCUUGGUGACACCAUCCACGUUUUCCGCCACAGACAUAGUGCCUGGCCACUUCUCUGUCGUGUAAGAUAUGUUCCAGGUCAACAGGAGAUGCAAAUUAGUUGAAACAUUCUUUUAUUUCUUAAGAGAAAAUAUUUCAGAGUACUUUCUUUUUCACUCAGAAAUCCUAUAUUCAGCUGGAAGUACACGAAAGGACCAGCUGAAUAAUCUGUUCUGUGGUGUGAACACACCAUUACAGGAGAAACCUCUCUUUUCUGGUGUUAGAAUUGAAAGAUGGAAUAUAAUGAAUUUCAUGCACUUACAUGAAUUUUUCUUUUCUCCUUUAUAUUGAUUUCAUGAUUUAAAGUGAGCUGUAAAUGUGGCUGCAUUCUCUUCUCCAGCUUUUCAUAGAUAAUUUUGAAUUUGGUGUAAUUUUCGGUUGAUCCCUAUAGCUUGAUGUUUUCCACCCCAGCCUACCUAGCAACAGUAUUUACUAGUGGCAAGUUGGCAUUGCCCUCCAUCUGUCAGGCAACAGCAGGUGUUGGUAGAUUACUUUUCCGUCCCAUCCUGGUUGAUUCUGCCUUUGCAUUAUUUAAGGUUGACAGCAGUUUCUCCUAACUCCAGGCAGCAGAGCUUCCAAUCUCUUAGCAGAAGUGAUGGUUUUAAGAAGUAUGCGUUUGCAAAACAGUAUAAUUAGCAAGUGGGCAUCUACUGAGAAAGAAAUAUGGGCCUAAGUUACAUGUGGAUAUUUAUUACCAGGAAAUUCUGUUACUUGCAGGGGGCGGGGUGGCUAUAAAUUUCUAGCAUAUAUUACUUUAUAGUGCCAGCUUUCUCAGCUAAAAACAGGCUUACUGAGCAAGUUGUUUCUGUCAUGUAGAUGAGAGGACUUAGCUCCAAAUAGCUCUGAUUUUUUCUUGAAAGAAUCUAACAACACAGACAUUACUGAGGAUGGUUUUUCUCUCUAGAGCCAGUGCACCAUGUGUUAAUGCAUUUAAGCAUUUAUUGCCGUUGCCAUUAAAGUAAAAAUUAUAUUAUACUGGCAAUCCUAGCAGAUUUGACUGAAUCAAGCAUCAGAGCUUGCUGUUGGUAAGUCCAGUUUUGCAUCCAAAACAAAUAUUAAUUCCUCUCCAUGUUAUGUUGUUGUUAAGUGCCAUCAGGUUGGUUCCAGCUCGUAGCGACCCUGUAGGACAGUAGAACUACCCAUAGGGUUUCCAAGGAGGGGCUGGUGGAUUGGAACUGCUGACCUUUUGGUUCACAGCCCAGCACUUAACCACUAUGCCACCAGGGUCCUUAUCAUAGGAAGCUGAUUUUCCCUGCAGAAGUGGCUUCUACUCAGAAUCACUUGGGGACCUAUUUUUAAAAGAGUUUCCUAGGUCCUCAUGCAGACUCUCGGGAGGAGAAUUGUUGGGAGUGGUAGUCUGAAAUCUCUAUUUUUAAACAAGCGCCCUGAGCCUCACAAGAGUUUGCGAACCACUGCCGUUAAGCAUGUGGAAGAUUGCCUCUUAAGCCCAUCUCUGCAUUUGUUGUAGGUGCAUAGAAUAAAAUGACACGGUGACUUCCUGCAAUGUCCCCAAAUUGUAUACUCAUGCGAGUAUUUGGAAGCAUCGGAUAAUGUCAUUUGAAAUAAAUUUCAGCCGAACAGAUUCAUUUUUUAAUUAAAUGGGCUGAUUUGUUCACAGGACCUUUAUAAAAAAGAAAAAAAAAGUUUAUAAUUGUUUUAGAUGAGGUUUAAUGUGCAUAAAGUAUGCAAAUCUGAAGUGUACACUCAUGAAUUUUUACGUAUAUGUACAUCCACAGAACCCAUAUCCAGAUCAAAAUAUGGAACAUUUCCUGUCCCCUUGUCCACCAUGCUAACGUCUAUUAAUGCAGAUCUUGAGCUUCAUACAAAUGAAAUUAUGCAGUAUGUCUUGUUUGUACGUCUUGCCUGUUGGUGCAGGUCGUUCGUGAUUGGCAGCUAACCUAAAGGUUGGCAGAUUGAACCUACCCAGCAAUGCUGUGGGCCUGAUGAUCUGGUUCUGUAAAAAUUACAGCCAACAAAACUCUGUAGAGCAGUUCCAUUCUGAAACACAUGUGGUGGCCAUGCGUUGGAAUCAGUGCCACGGUAGUGGGUUUGCUUUUGGUUUUCUUUUGUGAAGUGUGUGGUUUGUUCUUCUUUAUUGCUGUAUGGUAUUGCAACAUGUGAUUAUGGUGCACUCAUUUUAUCCAUUCUCCUGUUGCUUAUCUCUGUUGGGUUAUUAUCUCCAGUUUUUGGUUAUUAUGAGGAGUGCUUCUGUGAACAUUGUUGAACCUGUAUUGUUGGGUAUAUGUGUACACAGGGCUUCUUGCUCUCUCUUCCUGAUGCGGCUUUGGCCCUGGACCGUAUUUCUCCAGUACAUGUCCGCCUAGUCUUUAUGACCAAUCGUAGUAUCUCUGAUCCAAACAAGCCCCAGCCCCUGUGCAGCUGUUUCCCAGCAAGGGCUGGGGCAGAGGAACAGGGCAAGACCCCAUGCCUCAGUGGAUCCUACCUGGGCCCAGCAGGAGCAAAACUGCAAUCACAAACAGAAUACAUUUGCCUUCGUUCUGUGUAGGUUCCUGAUGUGAGUUUAUUUUCUCUUUUCACUUGGGUCUAAUCUAAUUGGGUGACUGACACAAAUUUAUUCUGAUUUCUUUUGAUUCUUAUAAUGGCAGUUCCAAAAGUUUUCAAUGAGUUUAUUAUAUACUUCUUGUUUUUUUUUGAAGUUCUCUUUUUUCAUAGUUAGAUAUUAAUAAUUUAUGUCCUAUAAAACUGUUAUGUCUGAUUUGCCUUUGCUAGACUGAAAUCCAGAAGGUAGAGAUAUGUUUUAAUGGUUUUUGAACCUCCAAAAUUGCCUUGCAUGCAGCAAUUAAUGUUGAUAGUAUAAUAGCGAUAAUAGUAGUAGGUAAUAUUUAUUACACUCUUCCUAUUCCCCCCCGCAGCCAUUGUUCUGUAAGUCAGCACUGUCUAAUGUAGUCCAAGCCACAUAGGCAAUUUAAAAUUUUCUGAUAGCCACAUUAAAAAAGUAAAAGGAGUAGCUGAAAUGAAUUUUAAUAAUACAUUAUAUUUAACCUAUCAUUUCAACAUAUAAUAAUAUAAAAAUUAUUAGAGAUAUUUUGUAGUUUUUUUUAAUAAUAAGUGUUUGAAAAUGUAUGAAUUUUACAUUUACAGUACAUCUCAAUUCAUAUGCUAAAUUUGCACAGAUACUUGAUCUGUAUUUUUAUUUCAUAAAAUUUACAGUUGAAAAAGUAGAUUACUAUACCAAAUAUGUUCCAAACAUACUUAGUUUUUCAGUAGUUUGAGUAUCAGUUUUUAAAUUUAAACCAGUAAAUUAAAUAAUAUUAAAAAAUCAGUUUUCCAUUGCACUAGCCGUAUUUCAAGUGCUCAGUAGCCACAUAUGCACAGUGCAAUUCCAUGUCAUAUAUAUUAACUUGUUUAUUUCGUUCAGUAGCCUUAUGAGGGUGGUAUUAUUAUUUUUUCCAUUUUUGCAUUUUGUAGAUAAGGAAACUGAGGCCCAGAGGGCACAGGGUUAAGGAAGGUGUAGGGGAGGUGAGAAUUUGACUUUGUCUUGAGAUCUGGGUUGUGACUCCCACUAUGCUAAUUCUUAUUGUUUGAAACUGACCUCUCGUUAAUUGCUGUAUCAUUUCUACUUUUUUCCAUGUUCAAAUGCAUUGGGUUUGUUUUGUCUUUCUCUGACUCUUGCCUUUUUUGUGCUUUUUCAUGUAGUGACUGAUACGAAAAGGUAGUCUUCAGAAGUGAUCCUGUAUUUGCAGUGAAUUUUUUGUUCAUCAGUGUUUUAAAAACCAAAAUAGAUAAUGACCACUGCUUGAGCCCCAUCUGCUCUGUUAUCUCCGUAAAUGUCGAGACAAGAUUUGCUUUCCCUGAAAUGGCUCUCGCUUCCUUUUGUGUUUUGUAAUUCUCUCUUUAAUAAUAAGCGAUUUUCCCACCAAGGUUGCAUUGCCUUGACUUGCUUCUGGUCUUUUUCUUAAGCAAAGAGUCAUGGUUAUUUCCCUGGGUAUCAUGUAUUUUAAAUGUGUAUUAGCAUUUGUUCUUAUAUUAAUGAUUUCUCUGUGCAUCUUCAGAUUUAAAAAAAAAAAAAAAUCCAGCCAGCCAUGUGUUCUUUUCUACCUUUAUGGAUAAUAUUUUAUUUCAUAUGAGGCUUGUUUUUAUGUAAUUGUUGUAUUGCCCUUUACUACAGUGAUGGUUGUUUAUAAAAGAGAGAUCUAAAACGUGCUCUUCGGCAAGGAAAAAUGGUCCAGACGUGCAAAGGAUUAUUAUUUUGAGUGCUGCGUAUGAAGAAAAGGAAUGUAGAGGCAUAGUGAUAGUUUUCCGUAUUUCAUCUGCACUGUGUCGUGCCCUAAAUUUCUCUAAGAUUGCGUUCCCUUUCCUUCUCUUUCUGAUCCUCUUCUUCUCUCUAUGGUGUUGUAUGCAUCUCAUCACCUUUUAAUUGCUUAUCUCAUUUCAAGUGUCUUGAAAUAAUUAGCCCUGGCCUUGCUUGAGUUCUGAUACAUUCUGGGUGGUCAUGUAAUUCAUUCUUUUGAAAUGUCUUGACUGUUUUAUAAUUAUUUAAGUGUAAUUAACUGCGGUGAUCUGGCUUUCACACUUCACCGUAUCACUAACUAGUUGUGUGACAAGGUAUACCCUCUCUCGCUUGGUCUCUGUUUUCAGUCAUGAAUGGAGAGGGCUGAUAUAGGUGAGCUGUAAGGAUUCCUUAUAUCUGAGAAGGACUUGGGUGCUUCCUUAGGAGACUACAUGGAAUUGUCCCUGUUGGUCCUUGUCUUGGGUAUGGGACCCCGCCACCUUUUUCUGUCUUCCGGGGUCUGUCAUCAUUAGAGCAGGUGUUUUUGUCCCUUGCUCCUGGGCCUUUGUUUUGGACCACUCUUCCUUUUUAAAUGUGCCCUCUGAACCUUGUCUCACUUUGGCCAUUAAGGUAUUUCAUACAUACAGAAGAUUACAUAAAUUGCAUGUAUAAAAUCCUAAUGGAUUUUCACAAACUGAACACACCCAUAUAUUCAGAACCCAGGUGAAAAAACAGAACAUUACCAGGACCUCUGAAGUCUGCCCCUGCUAUCCCUCCACGAGUUACCACUCCUCCCUCCAAGGGACAUGUCUAGCCUGAUGUUGAAAAGCAUAGCUUUGCUUUUCCUGUUUUUGAACUUUAUAUACAUGGAAUCACACAGAAUGUAUUUCUUUGUAACUGGAUUCAUUUUUCCAACACUAUGUUGGUGAGCUCCGUCUAUGUUUUUGCACGUGGUUGUAUUUAUUCUCAUUGUUGCAUAUUAUUCCAUAAUGUGAAUAUGUCACCAUUUAUUUAUUCAUUCCACUCGUUGAGUUAUUUUCCAAAGUGGUUGUACCAUUUCACACCCUCACCUACCAUGUAUGAGAGGCCCAGUUCCCUGUCCUCAGCGAUAUUUGCUAUUUUUUAAAAUACUUUUUUAUUUCAGCCAUUCUGGUGGGUAUCUGAUGGUAUCACAUUGCAGUUCUAUUUUGACUUUCCUGAUGGAAUGAAGGAAAAAAACCUUCCAUUAUUUUUAAUUAGCAUCAUUUUCCGUAUGACUUCGCUUCAGGCCUUGUCAUCAAAUAUGCUGUCCCUAGGAUAUGUUGCACAUCCUCGGUCACUGGGCUCGCCUCCAGCCCUCUCCAGCUCCCUUAACUGUUUAUGCAUUAACUGGCCACCCAGCCAUCUCAGAGAGCUGUUACUCACUUAGUCACCGGCUUUUGACAAAUGCUCAAGGAGGGCUUCUGAGGUACCCAGGGCUUACCAGUGCAGUGAUGGGGAGUCAUUCCAAAUGUGGCGGGUAUUUGGGUUCAACUUACCUCAUUUCCUCUCUUUCUUCUUCGUUGAAUUUACUGGACUACAUAUUCUGCUGGUCCCCUACCCCCUUUUCUCUCUUUUUAGCUGUUGACUCCAAGCUAUUGCGCUUUUUUUUUAAAGCCAGGUUGGGGUUCUUUCUGCAAGGUGAGGAGAUAGUAAUCAUAAUUACAGUGGAAAACUUCAUGCACGUUUUAAAUUACUUAGAGCUCUUUAUUCACCUGAGAAAACCUUUUCAAUAAACAUUCUCUGUAACCUAGACAAUGACAUAAACUUAUUCUGGUGACAAAACCUCACUUAACCAGAAUAUUUAUGAAUACCUUUGUUUAGCAAUAAAACCCAUUUAUAUUAAAUGAUUUCUGAAGAUCUUUAUUAAAAGACUUUCAACAGCACUUACUGGUUUAGAAGGUGCAGGGUCACAGUGGAUGCAAUUUAAUGUGUCUUGAUCCACGUCGGGAGUCUUAAAGAGCUCUUUGUAUACUUCAAACUGAUUUCAAUCAUAUCUCCUUUGUUGCCUGAGUAAUAACUUGUCUUAGUUUUUUCUUCCUCAAAGUGCUGUGUCAUUGUGUGUUUUUAAAAUGAUUUCAAAAAAUGCUCUAAGACAACUUAGAGAGAUAAUCUUGUUCAUAGAACAUAGAAUGUUGGUAGGACAAAGGGCCCAAGAGAGUAUCUACGCUUAUCUCUUCCUUGCCUUGCCUCCCUCCUCUGCCCUUUUUUUAAACAAAUGAAGAAAUUGAAGCCAGAGAAAUUAAACAACAUGGUCUAGAAGUUCUAGAGGUAGAACCAGGGCUAGGAUAACUGUUCGCUCACUCAUAAUCCAGUGCUCUUUAAUUAUACCUUGCUUUUCUUUUAAAAUAGUAUUCUGUUACCUGGCUUCUUAGCACCACAAUGAGCUUUCACUUUGAUGAGGAGAAUAUGGCUGCCUGCGUCUUCAGAAUAUGUAUGUCCAUACUUCUAUGUGAAAAUUGCAGGCAAGUUUUAACCUGUGGUCUACCUAAAUCAGCAAACCAUUCUAUAAUGCGCUUCAUCUGCAUUUAAAUUAUUCUCCUUCAGACAAUUCUGAAAGUUGGUUUUAAAUAAAUGUCUUGUAUUUUUUAUUGUAUUAAGCCAGAGUGCCUUUUGGUUAAAUUUAAUAGGAAGUUUUUUAAUGUGUGCAGAAUCUCCUAAUAUUCAAGUCUGCUAUUAGGACAUAAAUAUAUAUUUGCAUUUGAAACAAACAAAAAAUUGGAGAACAAAGUAACUUCUUCACCUCAACCAAACAGAUGCAUUUUCUUAAUUAUUUGGUUAAGCUUAUGAGAUAUUUUUAAUUUUGGAUUAGAAGACAGUUGGCAAUUGGAAAUUCUUAUUGUGGAAAACACCAUUUAUUAAGGGCUAUACAAUUCCUGUUUUAUCAUAUGCAUUUAAUAGGUAAUAAUUGGAACAAAUCCUGGAAUAAAUGUUGUGCCCUAGGCUGCGUUUUAGUUUCUGAGCACUAGAUGUCGCUGCAGAUAGGAAAAACACACCCUAUAACUAUUUUUAAUUCCAGGAUCCUUUGUGGUGAAGUUAUUUGAAAGGACAUGACAGGUAUUGGUAAGUGGACAUGGGUCUAGGUCCUGAUUCCUGGAUGCUGAAUCUAUGUAAGAUAUAAAUUGUGAACAUUUUAGUAUAAAUGAUUUUUCAGAUGGAGUAUCUUCUUGCAGCCAAGUUGAGAAUUGUUACAGAAGGAUGUAAGACAUUUCCAUGUUUCUGGAGAUUCUUUACUUACUAUUUUUUUAUAGUUUUUCUGAAGUUGUUUCAAGAGCAGAAUAUCUGGACUAUACCUUACAGCUAAAAGGUUUUUCUUAAUCUGGGUCUUAGGUGGUCAUUUUGAUUAGUUUGCCACUAGAAAGCUCACUUUAGCAUUGUUAUGGAUUGAACUGUGUUCCCUAAAAAUAUGUGUUAAAUUUCUGGCCCUUGUGCCUGUAGAUGUGAUCCUCUUUGGAAAUAGGGUUUUUCUUUUGUUAGUUAAUGAGAUACCAGUGUAGGGUGGAUCUUAAACCUUAUCACUUCUGAGUUAUAAAAAGACCGGAAUAGACACAGAGACACACACACAGGGGAAGACUGACACCAAAUGAGAGUUGUCUUCAUGCCAAGGAACAGGGAAUGUGGGGGGAUACCGGUAAGGAAGGAGUUAACAGGGCCAAGACCCUAAUACAGACUUUCACCCUCUGGAACUGUGAGAAAAUAAAUUUGUUUUUUAAAGCCAACCAUUUGUGCAGUUUCUAUUAAAAACAAGAGCACUAGAUAACUAAGACAGACAUUUACUUAUAUUUGCCCCUUAAAAAACUGUCCUUGUAAUGUCAUUUCUUUUUUUACCUUGAGUUUUCCUCAUCUUUAAGUCUUUAAAAAAUUACAGUGUAAUUCCUUGUUUCCUGUUUCUGUCACGAUUCAUUGUACGUUUGACAACGUCUGUUCCAGCAAAGUAGCCUCGACUAUCGACGUCGUACAUGCAGAGGCCUCUCUCUUGGUUUCUGCUGGUUUGUGGAGCCAAGAACUAUCACAGAGAUUCAGACUGAAUUACCUCCCAGCUCGUUCCUCAUUUUAUAUAGAAAUAAGAAAAAGAAAGUACUGCCACAGUUAAUAACUGAGAGGUGGCAGAGAGUGACAGGUAGGAGCAUGAGCUCUGGAAUCCAGUGGCAUAGAGUUCAAUCUCACCUCUGCCAGUUGCUAGCUAUGUGACUUGGGCAAGUUUUUAAACCUUUCUGUGCCUCAGUUUCCUUAUCUGUGAAAUGAGGAUAAUCAUACCUCUCUCACUGGGUCGUUCUGAGAAUUCAGUGAGUUACUUGUAGAAGCACUGAAAGCAGGGCCUGCCACAUAAUGCUCUUAUGUAAGUGCUUCUUAAAUAAAUACCUUUAGUUUCAGGCAGUUUAUGGGCAUUUUUUUCCAAAGGUGUAUAGUUAAAUAUUUAUUGAUAUUAUUUAUUUCUUUAAAUGGCUUUGAGUUACUGUCUAUGCCCUUAAUUGCAGGGUAAGACUAUUGGCAGUAAACUCCUGCUGUUGUUAUUAUCUGGGAAUAUCUUAAUUUUGCUGUCAUUUUUGUAGGACUGUUUUCUUGGAUGUACAAUUCUUGGUUGACUUUUUUUCCUCCCCUUUCAGCACCUUAAAUAUGUUAUCUCACUGCCUUCUGGUCAUCCUGGUUUUUUUCUUUUUAAUUGUGGUGAAAAUAUACUCAACAAAAAUAUGCCAGUUCAGCAAUUUCUACAUGUACAAUUAAGUGACAUUGCUUAUAUUUCUCAAGUUAUGCAACUAUUCUCUCUAUCCUUUUCCAAAUUAUGCUAUUACCAUUAACACAAACUCAGUGCCCCCUAAGCACAAACUUUCCUUCCCUCCUCCCUCCCACCCUAUAACCACUAAUAAUCUUUGGUUUCUAUAUUAUUUGCUUAUUCUAUAUUAGUGAGAUCAUGCAGUAUUUGUUUUGUUGUGACUGCCUUAUUUUGCUCGGUGUACUGUUUUUAGAGUUCAUCCAUGUUGUGGCUAUGAGCACUUUUAUAAAUGCUAAAUAAUAAUAAAGAAUAUUCAGUUAGGGAGGGAAGAGGAUGAGAAAUCAUUAGGAUCAUUUUUUUUUUUUUCUUACAAAAGAAUUAAAGACAAACUGUGGUGACCAUAUUGUCACUUUAUCCAUUUAGCAUUUGUUUGGCAUCAAGACAAACUAUGGUGACCAUGUUGUUGCCUCAUUCAUCCAUUUAACAUUUAUUUAGCAUCUGCUUGGUGUGACAUGUAGUGUGAACAUGAAUAAGACACUUUGUCUAGAUGGGGAACCAAACUUGUAAACAAAUAAAUGAAAUAAAUUGUUAUAGGUGUGACAUAAAUAGUAA